UUCCUCUCCCGUGGCGAUUUGUUACCGGAUUGCGGGCCACGUUAAAUAUGCUGCUAAAGAGGAUGGAUUGCUAUGAGC
rnacentral:ncRNA from 2 species